UAAAUGUGAUUGAUUUAAAAGCAAAAGAAAACGGUUUCAAGUUUUGAUUUGUACUGUCAUUUGUUAGGUUCUAGAGAAAAUGCAGAAACCAAAUGAGAUUUCAAGUACUUUUUUUUUCUCUAGUUUUUUGUCUUCGGAACUUAAUUAUGCGUUCCAUUGAGUUUAAUUUAAACUUUUUAUAGCUGAAUUAUGUACUUUUAGGUGUUAAUCACCUCCUAGAAAGUAACAGCGAUCAUAAGCUAAUGAAGCUGUUCAUUUGACUAAGUCUGUGAAUCUGAAACCAAUUUAUCACUAAUUAAUACACGUAUAUUAUUUGUGGCUGGUGAAACUGAAUAUAUGGUUGGAGGCAGGGUCCCGCCGCUGGUAAAUUGCACGACGGUGGCCAAAGGAAUGCUAAAUUGUACAAAGAAAAAAAAAUACACGUAUAUUAUUUGCAGCUGUGUAUGUAUGUAUAAACAAAAUGCAUAUGGUUGGAGGCCCGUAUUUUAGCUGUCUGCGUGUGUGAAUGUACACACGCAUUCCCGACACCUAUGUUCACAUUAUACUGAAAGUUUAAUAUUUUUGAAGGGUAUCAUACUUGUUAUUCUGGUUUUACUCGUAGAUGCCAUAGCCAAGAGAAGAAGGUCAGAAUUCGUUUUAAGCUACAUGGAAUUCCAUGUUUGUUCACUGAAUAUUGAAUCAAUGAUAUUAGUCCUCACAAUUGCUCAAUUGAUUUUGGUGAUUACUGUCUUAGGUCCGGUUCGCCACACAGCUCUCCUUCACCUGUCAGAGGCCACCGGUCGAGAUCAUUGUCGAGGUCUAGGAGAAGUCGUUCUAGGUAUACUGGAAAUCUCAAAUUCCCUAUUUUUAACCUGUUUUGGUUUUAUGGUUUCUGUUUUAUUCAAACCUCAAUACUCUGGUCAAGCUUUGUUGAGUUGAAUUGAAGAAAACUCUGGUUUUUCUUUCUGCAGGAGCCAUGAACCUGUCGACGCAUUCUAACAUAACGUUUUUACCUAUCUUGUCCUUUCUUUAUUAGACUUCACAUAGAAUAGGUACUGGACUGCCAUCUGGUUACAGGCCCUCACACCAGAGAAUCUCGUGGAUUUGGCUUUGUCGCAAAGGAAACUGUUGAGGAUGCAGAACGCUGCAUCAAAUAUUUGGAUCGGUCUGUGCUUCAAGGUCGAUUAGUUACAGUUGAAAAGGUAUUAGUUUCUGUCAAAUGAUCAAGAAAGUUGCCGUGCAGUAUGCAGUUGAAUUGUUUAUACUUUUUCUUAUGAAGAUUUUACCUAUUAAAGAUGUUGCCUAACAAGUUUUGGCAGCAGGUCUGGUCACUGUAGCCUUCACUAUCUAAGCUCUACACAGUCGAAACUAUCCCCUUCACAACAUGAGUGUUUGCGUCGACAUUCAAAAAUCAUCAAUACAAACUCAACUAUUUUGCCGAGGGUUGAAUGCCCUUUAGUCCUCUUUUUCGUUUGCAACAGCGUCUUCCAUGGUUGUUAUUUACCUUACUAUUUAAUGCCCUAGAGGCAUGGUAAAUUCUUCUUGUCGCAUUGCUUUUUGGGCUUCUCCUACUUAAUCCAUCUGAACUAUAUGUUGUAUCUAAUUAAAAUAAAAGGUGGAAGUUGGACAGAAAAUCUCCUUGCAGCCAGUCUGGUUAGCAAGGCAUGCCGUUUGCUUGGUAUACAGUUAGGAGGGUGACUUUAAAAGUACGAUAAUGCACUGCUAUGGACCGUCUGUUGCGAUGAUUAUGAUCCACAUGGAAGCAGCCGCAAAUGGAAGGCACUGUUACUGUUUUAAGUAGAUUGUUGACUUGUUUACCUAUCUUCUAUUCACUUCGAGUCAUCUAUUCACGUAUUUAUCUUCCAUGACGCUAUUUUGUGUUUUGUGUAAAUGUGCAGGCAAAAAGGAAACGAGGGAGGAGUCCAACUCCAGGAAGGUAUCAAGGUUUGAGAGAUAAACGAGGUACAGACAUGGAUCAAUAUUCUAAUUUUCUAGCAAUUGUGCAUCGUUGCUGACCUUAACAUGGGUUAGUCACAAAACUGAACUCUUACUUGGAGCUUUUGUCACUCCUCUCCCUGUAACCUUUUACACACACUACCGCGGGAGGUCUACCUGUGUUAUUUUAUGCCUGGCCCUCUAGAUCUGAACAAUCUGCAUUUCGGGUGUACAAUCGAGUUCGCCAUAGCUAAUUUUUAGAUUAGAGCCUAUUUUAAUGCUUUGUUUGAGGUGUGGUGAUGGGGGAAUGUGGUACUCUUGAAAUUUCAUUCCUUCUUCAGCGCAACGCUGAAAAUGUUUCCUCUUUGACCUCACUUAGCUUUUAAGCCCCGAUAAUGUAGCCGAGUUCACCUUACCCUUUUCGUCGUGUCCCAUUUAUCAUAAGUCUACAGUGCCUACUUCCUUUGAAAUGGAAAGAUACUAAUUUUGAAGUAGGAUUGAGACACUGGAUUCACAUCUCAUGUGAACCAUGUUAGUGUAUAUGUGUUUUCUUUGUAUUUCAAUGGAGGUUUUCAGGCAACCUUCGAAAAUGGCAGAGAAUAUAGAAAGAAUUUCAAAGAGAAGAUGAUUAAAUAUA